CUAAGUGGAUUUCAGAAUUUCUUUCCAGCUAUGACUAAGAUUGUUGGCACACUCGGUCCAAAGUCUCGUUCAAUGACACUAUUUCGUGUUAUCUUGAUGCAGGAAUGUCUGUUGCAAAGUUUGAUUUCUCGUGGGGAGAUUCAGAAUACCACCAAGAGACAUUGGAAAACUUGAGGGCUGCUAUCA